rnacentral:rRNA from 1 species
GUGCCAGCCGCCGCGGUAAUACGUAGGGUGCGAGCGUUAAUCGGAAUUACUGGGCGUAAAGUGUGCGCAGGCGGCCCUGCAAGUCGAGUGUGAAAUCCCCGGGCUUAACUUGGGAACGGCGCUCGAAACUACGGGGCUCGAGUGUGGCAGAGGGAGGUGGAAUUCCACGUGUAGCGGUGAAAUGCGUAGAGAUGUGGAGGAACACCAAUGGCGAAGGCAGCCUCCUGGGCCAACACUGACGCUCAUGCACGAAAGCGUGGGGAGCAAACAGGAUUAGAUACCCGGGUAGUCC